AUGAACGCUGGCGGCGUGCCUAAUACCUGCAAGUCGAGCGAACGGACGAGAAGCUUGCUUCUCUGAUGUUAGCGGCGGACGGGUGAGUAACACGUGGAUAACCUACCUAUAAGACUGGGAUAACUUCGGGAAACCGGAGCUAAUACCGGAUGAUAUUUUGAACCGCAUGGUUCAAAAGUGAAAGACGGUCCUGCUGUCACUUAUAGAUGGAUCCGCGCUGCAUUAGCUAGUUGGUAAGGUAACGGCUUACCAAGGCAACGAUGCAUAGCCGACCUGAAAGGGUGAUCGGCCACACUGGAACUGAGACACGGUCCAGACUCCUACGGGAGGCAUCAGUAGGGAAUCUUCCGCAAUGGGCGAAAGCCUGACGGAGCAACGCCGCGUGAGUGAUGAAGGUCUUCGGAUCGUAAAACUCUGUUAUUAGGGAAGAACAUAUGUGUAAGUAACUGUGCACAUCUUGACGGUACCUAAUCAGAAAGCCACGGCUAACUACGUG
rnacentral:rRNA from 1 species